rnacentral:rRNA from 1 species
CAGCAGGUAAAAGUAACUCGAAGAGAUUUGAUUAUGGCUCAGAUUGAACGCUGGCGGGAUGCUUUACAUGCAAGUCGAACGGCAGCACGGACUUCGGUCUGGUGGCAGUGGCGAACGGGUGAGUAAUGUAUCGGAACAGUGCCUAGUAGCGGGGGAUAACUACGCGAAAGCGUAGCUAAUACCGCAUACGCCCUUCGGGGGAAAGCAGAGGGGACCUUCGGGCCUCACCCUGCUGGUGGCCGAAUAUCCGGAUUAGCUAGUUGGUGAGGUAGCAUUCCUGAGCGACGAUCCGUAGCUGGUUUGAGAGGACGACCAGCCACACUGGGACUGAGACACGGCAGACUCCUACGGGAGGCAGCAGUGGGGAAUUUUUUGGACAAUGGAAACCCUGAUCCAGCCAUCCCGCGUGUGCGAUGAUGGCCUUCGGGUUGUAGUAAAGCACUUUUACAGCAGGAAAGAAACGGCACGGGAUAAUACCCCGUGCAACUGACAAGGCCACCUGCAGAUAAGCGCAACUAACUACGUGCCAGCAGCCGCGGUGGCACGGCCAGGGUGCGGCGACCAUCGGAAUUACUGGAGGCGUAAAGCGUGCGCAGGCGGUUCGGAAAGAAAGAUGUGAAAUCCCAGAGCUUAACUUUGGAGCGACAUUUUUAUACCGAGCUAGAAGUAAUAUCAGAGGGAGGUGGAAUUCCACGCGUGCAGCAGUGAAAUGUGUAGAUAUGCGGAGGAACACCGAUGGCGAGAGGCAGCCUCCUGGGAUAACACUGACGCUCAUGCACAGCGGUGAGGCAAACGGAUUAGAUACCCUGGUAGUCCACGCCCUAAACGAUGUCAACUAGCUGUUGGGGCCUUCGGGCCUUGGUAGCGCAGCUAACGCGUGAAGUUGACCGCCUGGAGAUACGGUCGCAAGAUUAAAACUCAAAGGAAUUGACGGGACCCGCACAAGCGGUGGAUGAUGUGGAUUAAUUCGAUGCAACGCGAAAAACCUUACCUACCCAUGACAUGUCUGGAAUCGAAGAGAUUUGGGAGUCUCACCGAAACCAGGAACACAGGUGCUGCAUGGCUGUCGUCAGCUCGUGUCGUGAGAUGUUGGGUUAAGUCCCGCAACGAGCGCAACCCUUGUCAUUAGUUGCUACGAAAGGGCACUCUCUAAUAGGACUACCGGUAAUAAACCGGAGGAAGGUGGGGAUGACGUCAGAGUCCUCAUGGCCCUUAUGGGUAGGGCUUCACGUCAUACAAUGGUCGGGACAGAGGGUCGCUAGCCCGCGAGGGGGGAGCCAAUCCCAGAAACCCGAUCGUAGUCCGGAUCGCAGUCUGCAACUCGACUGCGUGAAGUCGGAAUCGCUAGUAAUCGCGGAUCAGCAUAUGGUGAAUACGUUCCCGGGUCUUGUACACCGCCCGUCACACCAUGGGAGUGGGUUUUACCAGAAGUAGUUAGCCUAACCGUAAGGAGGGCGAUUACCACGGUAGGAUUCAUGACUGGGGUGAAGUCCGUAACAAGGUAA